rnacentral:rRNA from 1 species
UUGGACCGGACCGGACCGGCGACGGACGGAGUAACGACGUACUAGCACCACGACCCAUAACAGGGGGAUAACCCGGAGAAAUCCGGACUAAUACCGCAUAAGACCACGAUAUCGCAUGAUAUAGAGGUCAAAUAUUUAUAGGUUAUGGACGGGCAUGCGUCUGAUUAGCUGGUUGGCGGGGUAACGCCCACAAGGCAUCGAUCAGUAGGGGUUCUGAGAGGAAGGUCCCCCACAUUGGAACUGAGACACGGUCCAAACUCCUACGGGAGGCAGCAGUGAGGAAUAUUGGUCAAUGGGCGAAAGCCUGAACCAGCCAUGUCGCGUGAAGGAAUGAAGGUCCUAUGGAUUGUAAACUUCUUUUGCAGGAGGGUAAAGUGAGCUACGUGUAGUUCAUUGCAAGUACCCUGCGAAUAAGCAUCGGCUAACUCCGUGCCAGCCGCUGC